rnacentral:misc_RNA from 1 species
GAGAGAGAGAGAGAGAGAAUGUGUGUGUGGGAGAGAUUUGGAGAGAGAGAGAGAAAGAGAGGUCUUAGGUGCUCAUUUUUGCCAUAAGUCCAGUCCACAAUUUCCAUAUAAAAGCCUAACUCUAACUUUCUCUAAAGCUAAGCUUUUCUUCUCUCCUUCCCCCUAUUUGUGCCUCCAUUGUCACCUCCUCCUUCACCUCAUUUUCUUUCAUACCUCCUCUGGCUCUCUUUAGUCCUCACUUUCUUCUCUCUCUAUAGACUAUAAUUCCCCAUCUCCUUCUCCUCGUCCUGUCUUCUUCUUUUUUGUCUAACAACGCAACCCCUCUCUUUAGUUUAGUUCAAUGAUCUCUUUAUCUUUGCCAUCUCUUCUUGGAAGAACAUUUCGCAUAUUGAGCUUUAGCCUCUCCAAUGGUCUAAUAUUGCUCAUUUCACAUAUGAUUGUUGCUUCGGUGGUGCUUUUGCAGUGUUGCUUCACUUGUGUGGUUUAUGUACUUUUCACGGUGUUGUUGCAAUGUACGUUCAGACACACGGUUUUGUUGCACUGUUCUAAAUCUACUCAUUCCCUAAUUCCCUAUUAUUUAUGAUUUGGCUUUAUAUUUUUUUUAUAUUUUUCAAUUUUUUUUUAUUUGCUU